UCUUCCUGCAUUGCAUCACAGAAAGAUUGAUCGUGCGGAGGGCCACUUUCAGAACUGUGAGGAUUCCUGGAUAAUGUAGAAGUUCUACCAGGGAGUGACUGCAAGGCGGGCUCCUCUUGUCUCUGGGAGGAGCAAUGCUCCAUCAUGAGAACAUCUCUCCUGGAUCCAGAGAUACUCAUCUGGAGCCUACAGAUAUGGUUGUGUGAAGCUGACAGAUCGCAUCAUCUGUUUGAAUGCCGAUGGACACUGUAGGAAGACAAAAAAGACCGUUCGUUAAAGAAUAGCAAGGAAUUUGGUUCCAGGAAGCAUUAAGAAAGACAUCUUUCCAAGUGGCGGUGUUUUGAUUCUUCCAUGUACCCGCAUCAUCGUACCACCAAAUUUUCACAAGAGUCUUCAUUGCAGGUUUCAGAUGGCAAAAAUCAUUGUUUUAUUUUAUUUUCAAAAAUUGCAGUCAGCCCCUCUGCGUCUAGCGAUGUGAUAAAGCUGAAAUAGAAUGGGCAUCAUUGGAUGGGCUUUUGUCACUAAUGCUGUGGGAAAUGACUGGA